AAUUGUUGAACCUGUUCCUCAAUUGGGCAGCUCGUCGACUCUGCUCUUAGAUGAUCCUAUGAUCAAAGAGCUUCUCCGCAUCGGAUCCCAAUUUAUUGGGUAUCGUGAGUAUGCUAGCAGAGCCGAAGAGAAACUUGCAGAGGCCAACAAACGUGCCGACGC